AGAAUAUUAUGAAGCUUCAUUCACUAUUCGAGAUAGUGUAUACGGUUCAGUGUUUUUUU
rnacentral:tRNA from 1 species